GCAAGUCGAACGAGAAAGCUCUUCGGAGUGAGUAUAGUGGCGCACGGGUGAGUAAUGGAUAGGAACGUACCUACAGGAGGGGGAUAACCAUUGGAAACGAUGGCUAAUACCGCGUAGUAUCGCAAGAUUAAAGUUGGCCUCUCUCUAAAGCUAGCGCCUGUAGAUCGGCCUAUCUCCCAUUAGCUUGUUGGAGGGGUAAUGGCCCACCAAGGCUACGAUGGGUAGCUGGUCUGAGAGGAUGAUC
rnacentral:rRNA from 1 species